AGACAGAAUGCUAACACCCAGAACACCGCCUGCUUCUUUUUUAAUUGGAGUCUUUUACUGACCUGGAACUUGUUGAUGCACCUAGGCCGACUGGCCGAUGGACCCCAGAGACCCACUGGUCUCUGCCCACUCAAGGCAGGGACUGAAGUCAUGUCGCGCCCAUGCCCAGGGUUUCCGUGUGAGUUCUAGGACUAGGACUCAGGGUCUGGAGUUUGCACAGUCAGCGCUUUAUCAACUAUUGGAACUAUGGGUGCCUCAGAAGCAUGGAGAAUUUAUUAUCUAAUUUUCAAACAGCAAAAAUUAGAUCACUCUGGACAACUAAUAAUUUGUUUUCAGAAGCCCCGAGUAAGUGAUAAGCUAAUAUUUGUACAACGGACCCUAAAACUGCAACAGCUUGGGAGCUACUGGAGCGGUCCCCAGCUCCGAUAAAAAAGAAAAAAAAAAGAUUUAGGCUUAUCAUGUAGAAAGGAACUUUUAGAAUUCUCUUUAUAAAAAAAAUACACCUUGCACUUUGUAAUCGCUA